rnacentral:rRNA from 1 species
CCUACGGGGGGCAGCAGUGGGGAAUAUUGCACAAUGGGGGAAACCCUGAUGCAGCGACGCCGCGUGAGUGAAGAAGUAAUUCGUUAUGUAAAGCACUAUCAGCAGGGAAGAAAAUGACGGUACCUGAGUAAGAAGCCCCGGCUAACUACGUGCCAGCAGCCGCGGUAAUACGUAGGGGGCAAGCGUUAUCCGGAUUUACUGGGUGGAAAGGGAGCGUAGACGGCAGUGCAAGUCUGGAGUGAAAGGCGGGGGCUCAACCCUCGGACUGCUCUGGAAACUGUACGGCUGGAGUGCAGGAGAGGUAAGUGGAAUUCCUGGUGUAGCGGUGAAAUGCGUAGAUAUUAGGAGGAACACCAGUGGCGAAGGCGGCUUACUGGACUGUAACUGACGUUGAGGCUCGAAAGCGUGGGGAGCAAACAGGAUUAGAUACCCUUGUAGUC